rnacentral:rRNA from 1 species
GACGAACGCUGGCGGCGUGCUUAACACAUGCAAGUCGAGCGGUAAGGCCCUUUCGGGGGUACGACGAGCGGCGAACGGGUAGAGUAACACGUGGGUGGACCUGCCCUCCAGCUCUGGGAUAAAGCCUGGGAAACCGGGUCUAAUACCGGAUAUGACUCCAUGACGCAUGUUGUGGGGUGGAAAGCCUUGUGCGGCUGAGGAUGGGCCCGCGGCCUAUCAGCUUGUUGGUGGGGUGAUGGCCUACCAA